UACGAAGGGGGCUAGCGUUGUUCGGAAUCACUGGGCGUAAAGCGCACGUAGGCGGAUUGUUAAGUCGGGGGUGAAAUCCUGAGGCUCAACCUCAGAACUGCCUCCGAUACUGGCAAUCUCGAGUUCGGAAGAGGUUGGUGGAACAGCUAGUGUAGAGGUGAAAUUCGUAGAUAUUAGCUAGAACACCAGUGGCGAAGGCGGCCAACUGGUCCGACACUGACGCUGAGGUGCGAAAGCGUG
rnacentral:rRNA from 1 species